UUCUGUCCGGUAUGGGCGCCAAAUAAUAAAUCUCAAUACCCUGUCCGGUAUGAGGGUGAAACGAGCCGUCCUCAUACCCCGUCCGGUAUGAACGCCAAAAUAUUUAAAGUCUCCAUACCCCGUCCGGUAUGAGACAAUGUUCCCAGUAGGGUUCCCUAUGGACCCGGUCCAUCUACCAUCUCACAGGAUAUCUAGUGAGGCUGUCAUCUUAUCCAUU
rnacentral:lncRNA from 1 species